GAUGAAGAACGCAGCGAAAUGCGAUACGUAAUGUGAAUUGCAGAAUUCAGUGAAUCAUCGAAUCUUUGAACGCACAUUGCGCCCCUUGGUAUUCCAUGGGGCAUGCCUGUUCGAGCGUCAUUUGUACCUUCAAGCUUUGCUUGGUGUUGGGUGUUUGUCUCGCCUUUGCGUGUAGACUCGCCUUAAAAUAAUUGGCAGCCGGCGUAUUGAUUUCGGAGCGCAGUACAUCUCGCGCUUUGCACUCAUAACGACAGCGUCCAAAAGUACAUUUUACACUCUUGACCUCGGAUCAGGUAGGGAUACCCGCUGAACUUAAGCAUAUCAAUAAGCGAGGA
rnacentral:misc_RNA from 1 species